rnacentral:rRNA from 1 species
AACGAACGCUGGCGGCAGGCCUAACACAUGCAAGUCGAGCGAGGACUUCGGUUCUAGCGGCGGACGGGUGAGUAACGCGUGGGAACGUGCCCUUUGCUACGGGAUAGCCCUGGGAAACUGGGAGUAAUACCGUAUGUGCCCUUUGGGGGAAAGAUUUAUCGGCAAAGGAUCGGCCCGCGUUGGAUUAGGUAGUUGGUGGGGUAAUGGCCUACCAAGCCGACGAUCCAUAGCUGGUUUGAGAGGAUGAUCAGCCACACUGGGACUGAGACACGGCCCAGACUCCUACGGGAGGCAGCAGUGGGGAAUCUUAGACAAUGGGCGCAAGCCUGAUCUAGCCAUGCCGCGUGAGCGAUGAAGGCCUUAGGGUUGUAAAGCUCUUUCAGGGGGGAAGAUAAUGACUGUACCCCCAGAAGAAGCCCCGGCUAACUCCGUGCCAGCAGCCGCGGU